GCCAUAGCUCAGCUGCAGAGCAUCUGCCUUGCAAGCAGAAGGUCCUGGGUUCAAAACCCCACCAGGUAGGGCCG